UACGGGGGGGGGCAAGCGUUGUUCGGAAUUACUGGGCGUAAAGGGCUCGUAGGCGGCCAACUAAGUCGGACGUGAAAUCCCUCGGCUCAACCGGGGAACUGCGUCCGAUACUGGAUGGCUUGAGUUCGGGAGAGGGAUGCGGAAUUCCAGGUGUAGCGGUGAAAUGCGUAGAUAUCGGAAGGAACAUCAGUGGCGAAAGCGACUUCCUGGACCAGUACCGACGUUCAGGCACGAAAGCGUGGGGAGCAAACAGG
rnacentral:rRNA from 1 species